AUACCUUUCUCGGCCUUUUGACUAAUAUCAAGUGUAGUAUUUGUUUUAAUCAGUUUAAUAUCUGAUACGUGGGCUAAUGGCCCACACGAUAUUAAAUUUAUUUUUUGAGGGGGGAGGGCUCACCACAGUACCUUGCCGCUGCUGGGGUCUUGAGUGUCGCCUUGGCGUUUCACUAUUGCCUUGGAUUGGCGCACCCCAC